rnacentral:rRNA from 1 species
AUUGAACGCUGGCGGCAGGCCUAACACAUGCAAGUCGAGCGGAUGAAGGGAGCUUGCUCCUGGAUUCAGCGGCGGACGGGUGAGUAAUGCCUAGGAAUCUGCCUGGUAGUGGGGGAUAACGUCCGGAAACGGGCGCUAAUACCGCAUACGUCCUGAGGGAGAAAGUGGGGGAUCUUCGGACCUCACGCUAUCAGAUGAGCCUAGGUCGGAUUAGCUAGUUGGUGGGGUAAAGGCCUACCAAGGCGACGAUCCGUAACUGGUCUGAGAGGAUGAUCAGUCACACUGGAACUGAGACACGGUCCAGACUCCUACGGGAGGCAGCAGUGGGGAAUAUUGGAAAUGGGCGAAAGCCUGAUCCAGCCAUGCCGCGUGUGUGAAGAAGGUCUUCGGAUUGUAAAGCACUUUAAGUUGGGAGGAAGGGCAGUAAGUUAAUACCUUGCUGUUUUGACGUUACCAACAGAAUAAGCACCGGCUAACUUCGUG